GGGACCGCUGUAUGUGAUAUUAAAAGAGGGAAUAAGAAAUAGUUAUUUUCACUUAAAAUACUGCUACAUUUUCAUUUUUAAAUAUUGUAAUUAUUUCCAUAUUUCCAUAACAAAUUGACUUACGCUAUCAGCGCUUCCCACUCGAAAAAGUUGUCUUCACUUACAGGGCCAGCCACUAUUCCUUCCGGUGGGUCCAGGGUCAAUUCUAUAAGUAUGUAGUAUAAUGUAUAACAAUAGAUUCAGUUGUCCAAAUCGUCAACGAACUUUGGAAUUUCAUAACUUACGUUUGUAUUCCGCCAUAAGCCUUCGCAGCGCAGACCCGGCCAUUUGUCACUUUUUAUUUACAGCAACAAUCGUCACGCACAAUCCCAGUGGUUCGCUCGAACCCAAAUCAGUCUUCAGCUGUUAGUAAUGCUUUCGGCGGAUGCCCGGACGUCUUACGACGUAAUUUUUACAAAUUGAAUUGUGUUUUUUUAUGUUUUAAAUCGAAUUAAAUUAAACUAUUGCCACACAUUUAA